GGCUCCCGUCCUCUCGGGUUCAAAUUUGGCCGGAGAGAACCCACCUUUCCCGAUCAUUUGCAGAAAACGUCCCGAGAAGAACUCUGAUUGGCUCCGACCGGAUCACGUGCCCAUCUCUGCGCCAAUCACCACGGCCAGGGGGAAGCCACGCUCCCAUUGGCCACUCCCGGAUUAACUGCCCCCUCCUAGGAGCUGGGAGAAGAUCAGCCUCCUCUCACCCCUCCCACCUGAGAGCGGGGCCACUGGUGGCCCGCCACCGGGAGCCUUGGGAAGGAGCUGGGGGUGUGCUUAGCCGAAGAAAAGGAAACGAAGGCUGAGUGAACGCAACACGUGUCCUCUCUCCGUAGAUCGUUCUUUACGUUUCUCCCUGAGGUGUAAACGCAGGGUGUCCCUUACCUCUCCACGGACAAGAAACCACCGCCAAACUUUGGGGCUUAAAACAGAAUGAGCCGAUACUGUUUAGGAGUCUGAGGCUUCACUGCACACGUCCUCUGCCGGUCUGGCCUUGGGUUGCUGGUGGGACUGCCUUCAGCCAGCUCAGCCUGCUCCUUGGGGCCCUCCGCCCCCUCCCCCUCCACAUAUUCUCCCCUCGUUCCGCAGAUUAGCCUGAGCUACUUCACUUUAAGGUGCUGCUUCCCAGAGCAUGGAGGACAAGGCUGGCACUUGUCACUUCCACCACUCUGAUCGCAUUGGUCAAAGCUCCUACCACGUGCCUGGCACCGUGCCUGGUCCCUGGGUAUGUUGAGAUAUUGGCCGAAUAUCAUGGGACCGUGCACAUAAAUCGCCCGGGGCAGAGCCUGAGGAUAAGGGCCCGACUCUCCUCUUUCUCACCCUCUCCUCUUUUCCCUUCUGAAACGGGGCAGUCUGAAACGCUCGGUGUUUACUAUCUCCCAAAGCAGCCUGUAAGCUCUCAGGGAUUCGGAAUGAAUGCCCUGGUGUGACAGUUUUCCAUUCAUUAGACUCUGGGCCUCUGCCUGAGAAAGCUCAGCGGGAUUCAAUGGAGACAACCUCCCCCCGCCCCCCAACAUGCAACCCUGACAGGGAUGGAUCUGGGGGCUAUUCCCCCGUCCCCUCUCGGCCUCUUGGUGGAGAUUUGUGGCUUGGCUCGAUUUUCAAUGGCAACUCCUAGCCAUGGGCCAGGCUUCCCUGUAAGAGGGAGAAAAAAUUGAACACCUAUUAUGUGACAACUAAGCACUCUGCGGAGUAAUUAUUCCAUCACGAUAUGCAAUGUGCGUUUAGUGCUUGUCAUGUACCAGAUCUCAGGCAAAUACUUUCCAUGAAUUAUUUUCCGCUCAGGCUUCAGAAAUGCCCUUGAAAUCUGCACCGCCGUGAUCCGCAUGUUUAACCUAAGGGAACAGAGACUAGAAUGUUCACUUGUCCAAGAUGGCCAUUAACAAGCAACGAUACACCUAGCUUGGUGUGAUUCGACGUUUUGGUGUGCAAUCCAAUUUUAUAACAUCAACUGGUGUGAUCUUCACAAUGACCCACGGGAAUGAGGUUGCUAAUUCCAUUUUAUAAAGGAGAAGAUUAAGGCACGUAAACGGUAUUGAACUUGGGUAUCUCUCUGAGGUCACGUACCUGCAAAGUGGGAAGGCUGGGAUUUGAACGCAUGAAGCCUGACUUAAAAGUGACACGCAAGGACUAGGCUCUGUUACCCCAUCACAUUCUUGAACGUCCCAUUCCCUUGUGGCUAAGUACGCUUUCUUUGCCUGACCUAAGUAGCGAGCUUCUAUUUAUCCCUUAAGACUCAGUUCAAAUGCCCUCUCAUCAAGAAAGACUUCCCUAAUUAUGCCAAACACAUUGUGCUCCCUUCUCUGUGUACUUAGAUAGCCAAGACUGUAUGCCCAGUUGUCACUUUUUAUUUGCAUCUGUCUCUCUCAUUAAAUAGCAGCUCCUUAAUGGUGGGGUCAAAGUCUUAUUGGUCUGCAUAUUUAAACUUAG
ensembl:lncRNA